UACGUAGGGGGCUAGCGUUGUCCGGAAUCAUUGGGCGUAAAGAGCGUGUAGGCGGCCCGGUAAGUCCGCUGUAAAAGUCAAAGGCUCAACCUUUGAAUGUCAGUGGAUACUGCCGGGCUAGAGUCCGGAAGAGGCGAGUGGAACUCCUGGUGUAGCGGUGGAAUGCGCAGAUAUCAGGAAGAACACCAACGGCGAAGGCAGCUCGCUAGGACGGUACUGACGCUGAGACGCGAAAAGCGUGGGGGAGCAAAACAGG
rnacentral:rRNA from 1 species